AUUGAACGCUGGCGGCAGGCCUAACACAUGCAAGUCGAACGAGUGGCGGACGGGUGAGUAAUGUCUGGGAAACUGCCUGAUGGAGGGGGAUAACUACUGGAAACGGUAGCUAAUACCGCAUACCAUCAGAUGUGCCCAGAUGGGAUUAGCUAGUUGGUGGGGUAACGGCUCACCAAGGCGACGAUCCCUAGCGGGUCUGAGGGGAUGAACAGCCACACUGUAACUGAGACACGGUCCAGAUUCCUACGGGAGGCAGGAGUGUGGAAUAUUGCACAAUGGGCGAAAUCUUGAUUCAGCCAUGCCGCGUGUAUGAAGAAGGCCUUCGGGUUGUAAAGUACUUUCAGCGGGGAGGCGUUACCCGCAGAAGAAGCACCGGCUAACUCCGUGCCAGCAGCCGCGGUAAUUC
rnacentral:rRNA from 1 species